rnacentral:rRNA from 1 species
GAUGAACGCUGGCGGCGUGCUUAACACAUGCAAGUCGAACGGAAAGGCUCCUGCUUGCAGGGGUACUCGAGUGGCGAACGGGUGAGUAACACGUGGGUGAUCUGCCCUGCACUUCGGGAUAAGCCUGGGAAACUGGGUCUAAUACCGGAUAGGACGAUGGUUUGGAUGCCAUUGUGGAAAGUUUUUCGGUGUGGGAUGAGCUCGCGGCCUAUCAGCUUGUUGGUGGGGUAAUGGCCUACCAAGGCGUCGACGGGUAGCCGGCCUGAGAGGGUGUACGGCCACAUUGGGACUGAGAUACGGCCCAGACUCCUACGGGAGGCAGCAGUGGGGAAUAUUGCACAAUGGGCGCAAGCCUGAUGCAGCGACGCCGCGGGGGGGAGGACGGCCUUCGGGUUGUAAACUCCUUUCGCUAGGGACGAAGCGUUUUGUGACGGUACCUGGAGAAGAAGCACCGGCUAACUACGUG